GGAAAAUACUUUAAGCCUAUCUCGCCAUUUCUCAAACAGGCACGCACACACAGCCGCACAAAUCAUCAAAAGCGAGGCAGUGCUAAUGUAUGCUACGGCACACAGAACUAGAAUUCUUCCAGCAUAAAGAUCACUGUGCUUUUGGAAUAAGAUCAAUGUAUAGGUUGCUGUGACCGUGUCGGCAGCAUGCAAAGAAGGGGUUUCAAACCCCAGUAGUUAAUAAGUUUUGCAGAUUGUGUUGGGUUUUGUGCUGUGUACCAAAGGGGAAAAAAAAAAACAACAAAAAAACCCUUUGCCUGAUAAUUUGCAGUCCUCAUUCUGCAUGGGAAAUGCGUCGACAAUGAGCUCUGUAAUUUUUACUGACUGAAAAAUGUGUGGUACUUCUGUCAGGAAAACGCUGGCCAUCUUUUCCUAUUAUGAAAUAGAGUCUCAAGCCUGUGUGCUGGUGAAUGCGAUCAGAGCUGACAGCUCCCAAUUCUGCAUCAAUUCUCAGUGAAGAAGUUGGAAAUACAAGUAUUGCAGAAGAAAGUGCUGAUUUUAAGUCGACAUCGGGUGCAAAAUGCUGGAGGGGCAGGGCAAAAGCGUUGUAUUUGCUUUCUUUUUCACAACUGUGUUAAUUUUUUAAAAAGACCUGUUAUUGGAGUAUUUCUGAGAGAGCUGAUCAUUGUGUUUGAGUGUGGCUGGCUGCUGGGAGUGUGUGCUGGGAGAGAUCAAGGAAUGCAGUAAUUUGAUGCAGUAAAAGUUGCUUUACAGAGGUCCUGGCAAACUUAAAGCUUUCAUGCAUAAAAAUCUGUGAAGGAGAUGCAUUACUAAUGUAUUUGCCAAAACCAGUCUUAAAUAAAUUACAAAUAUAAACCACUUUAA